UACGGGGGGGGCAAGCGUUGUUCGGAAUUACUGGGCGUAAAGGGCUCGUAGGCGGCCAACUAAGUCAGACGUGAAAUCCCUCGGCUUAACCGGGGAACUGCGUCUGAUACUGGAUGGCUUGAGUGUAGGAGAGGGAUGCGGAAUUCCAGGUGUAGCGGUGAAAUGCGUAGAUAUCAGGAGGAACACCGGUGGCGAAGGCGGCUACCUGGACAGAAACUGACGCUGAGGCGCGAAAGCUAGGGGAGCAAACAGG
rnacentral:rRNA from 1 species